rnacentral:rRNA from 1 species
GACGAACGCUGGCGGCGUGCUUAACACAUGCAAGUCGAGCGAUGAAGUUCCUUCGGGAAUGGAUUAGCGGCGGACGGGUGAGUAACACGUGGGUAACCUGCCUCAUAGAGGGGAAUAGCCUUUCGAAAGGAAGAUUAAUACCGCAUAAGAUUGUAGUAUCGCAUGAUACAGCAAUUAAAGGAGUAAUCCGCUAUGAGAUGGACCCGCGUCGCAUUAGCUAGUUGGUGAGGUAACGGCUCACCAAGGCGACGAUGCGUAGCCGACCUGAGAGGGUGAUCGGCCACAUUGGGACUGAGACACGGCCCAGACUCCUACGGGAGGCAGCAGUGGGGAAUAUUGCACAAUGGGGGAAACCCUGAUGCAGCAACGCCGCGUGAGUGAUGACGGUCUUCGGAUUGUAAAACUCUGUCUUCAGGGACGAUAAUGACGGUACCUGAGGAGGAAGCCACGGCUAACUACGUGCCAGCCGCCGCAGUAA